rnacentral:rRNA from 1 species
UCCCGGGACGUUAUCUGAUCCUCUUUUAGAGGUGACGAUAAUGGAAUGAGCGGCGGACGGGUGAGUAACACGUAGGCAACCUGCCUGUAAGACUGGGAUAACUCGUGGAAACGCGAGCUAAUACCGGAUAACACUUUUCAUCUCCUGAUGAGAAGUUGAAAGGCGGCUUUUGCUGUCACUUACAGAUGGGCCUGCGGCGCAUUAGCUAGUUGGUAAGGUAAUGGCUUACCAAGGCGACGAUGCGUAGCCGACCUGAGAGGGUGAUCGGCCACACUGGGACUGAGACACGGCCCAGACUCCUACGGGAGGCAGCAGUAGGGAAUCUUCCGCAAUGGACGAAAGUCUGACGGAGCAACGCCGCGUGAGUGAUGAAGGUUUUCGGAUCGUAAAACUCUGUUGUUAGGGAAGAACAAGUGCCAUAGUAACUGAUGGCACCUUGACGGUACCUAACCAGAAAGCCACGGCUAACUACGUGCCAGCAGCCGCGGUAAUACGUAGGUGGCAAGCGUUGUCCGGAAUUAUUGGGCGUAAAGCGCUCGCAGGCGGUUCUUUAAGUCUGAUGUGAAAUCUUACGGCUCAACCGUAAACGUGCAUUGGAAACUGGGGAACUUGAGUGCAGAAGAGGAGAGUGGAAUUCCACGUGUAGCGGUGAAAUGCGCAGAUAUCAG